rnacentral:rRNA from 1 species
AUUGAACGCUGGCGGCAUGCUUUACACAUGCAAGUCGAACGGUAACAGGCCGCAAGGUGCUGACGAGUGGCGAACGGGUGAGUAAUGCAACGGAACGUGCCCAGUCGUGGGGGAUAACUGCUCGAAAGAGCAGCUAAUACCGCAUACGAGCUAUGGAUGAAAGCGGGGGACCGGAAGGCCUCGCGCGAUUGGAGCGGCCGAUGUCAGAUUAGGUAGUUGGUGGGGUAAAGGCUGACCAAGCCAACGAGCUGUAGCUGGUCUGAGAGGACGACCAGCCACACUGGGACUGAGACACAGCCCAGACUCCUACGGGAGGCAGCAGUGGGGAAUUUUGGACAAUGGGGGCAACCCUGAUCCAGCAAUGCCGCGUGCAGGAAGAAGGCCUUCGGGUUGUAAACUGCUUUUGUACGGAACGAAACGGUCUGGGUUAAUACCCUGGGCUAAUGACGGUACCGUAAGAAUAAGCACCGGCUAACUACGUGCCAGCCGCCGCAGUAAAAC